ACAAUCAAGAUUGAAGCAGGGAAAUCAACAGCAUUAGUGGGGCAAAGCGGGUCUGGUAAGUCAACCAUAAUAGGGUUGAUCCAAAGAUUCUAUGAUCCACUCAAUGGUUCAGUAAAAAUUGAUGGGAAAGAUAUAAGAUCAUUUCACCUUAGAUCCCUGAGGAAAUACAUCGCACUUGUCAGUCAAGAACCUACAUUGUUUGCUGGAACCAUACGUGAAAACAUCACCUAUGGAGCAUCUGAGGAGACCGACGAAAUAGAAAUCAUCGAGGCAGCCAAGGCAGCGAAUGCUCAUGAUUUCAUCACCGGACUAAAAGAUGGAUAUGAAACAUGGUGUGGUGACAGAGGAGUACAGUUAUCUGGGGGUCAAAAGCAACGCAUUGCCAUCGCCAGAGCAAUCCUAAAAAAUCCAGCCGUGCUUUUGUUAGAUGAAGCUACAAGUGCUCUUGAUAGUCAAUCAGAGAAAGUGGUGCAAGAUGCACUAGAGCAUGUCAUGGUGGGGAGGACCAGUGUGGUAGUGGCACAUAGAUUGAGUACAAUACAAAAUUGUGACACAAUUGCAGUGCUGGACAAAGGAAAGGUUGUUGAAAAUGGAACCCACUCAGCCUUGCUAGCAAAGGGAUCCACUGGUGCCUACUACGCGUUGGUUAACCUUCAAAGAAGAGCCGACACUAACAACUGAAAGCUUUGAUUUUUGUAAUCAAGCUUCUGGUUUUUUCCAUCAAGUAGUUGGUCUGAUGGAGAUGUAGUAAGGCCUGACAUAGCAUAUAUUAUAGGAAACAACAUCCAAGGAGCAGGGAAAACAUGUUUAUUCAACAUCAAUGUUGCGUAAGCUAUAUCUUUUUAUGUAAAGAAAUUCAGCUGAAUGAUUGCGUUAUGAGCAAUAAAUAACAUGUUUUGCCUUUACAUCUAAUUUUGAUGAAAAAACAAUGAUCAAGUUUCAUAUGGAGCUGGUGUGAGUUAUCAAGAGGACUUAAGUCAAUACUCUUUAUGUUCAAUUUGGAAACAAAGAUGCCAUUACAACAUUAUCUUCUGUACUGGCUUAUUGAUUUUACCAACACUGGCAGACUUUCUUGAAUUAGGUUGAGUGCAACUGAGAUGUAUACUGUAUAGGGAAGUAGCUGUCAUUAUAAACAUGCAUGUUGCAUUUAAAAUGUUGUAUCAGUUUUGAAUUUAUAAUAAGCAGUCUUCUUAAUUUAUAAGCAAAUUGGCAAUUCAGCAAUUGAGCAAUUGUCCUUUAGUGACAAUCAGAGAGUUGUGGUUUGUCUGCAAGAAAAUUAGUCAGUAGCAGAAAACUAAACUCGUAAAAAAGAAGUCAAGGCUGAGACAGGCAAGUAUUUAUAAACUAUGGUGUCCCGGAGCAACAGAAGUGGCCGUCAGUCUUCGUAAGCUAACUCUCUUUAUAAUUGCUUGCACCAAUGUUGUUUGCUUAAUCAUUAACCAGAUUGUCUUAAUAUGCUUUUCAGGUGUUUAUUAAAAUGCACCAAAAGGGCUUUCAUAUAUUAAUGAGUUCAGGGUGAUAAGUCGGGCUGUUGCUGUAUAUAGCUGAUGGAUGUACAUGUAUGUUUCAUAAAACUUCUGCACUUUGUGCUUAUUGAUAUAUACCCAAUGUCAAAUGUAAAGCAUCUUCUUAUUAGCAUCUGAACAUUUCCCUCAUUGAUGGUUAGCGACAAGCUGGAAAUAUAUUAUGCCUGUUUUUAUUUGAUUUAUUUUUAAACAACUGAAGGUGGCCAUAUUUUAAGGUGUAACACGACAAACUUUAUGAUUAAUAAGUAUACAAUCAGGCUCUGGGAUAAAUUAUGCACUUCUCUCAUUUCUGUUUACGACAAUACACUGUUUUUUCAGUUUGAACCCGAUACUUGGUGCAUUGUAAGUAGACACUUAACCAUCGCAGCAACACACCUUAGUUGCUGUUCUGUUUUCAUCUCAUUCCCUGCUUUUGUGCAGCACCUGGGGUUUUACAGGUUGUUGUACAAUUGUCCUCUUGGGCCAAUAUGUUCUUUAUACACUUCAAUUUUAUUCAGUUAAUUAUAAUUACAGAGAGCUGAUAUUUUAAUCUAUUCACAGAUCUCCGCUUUAAUAGCUAGACUAGAGUGUACUACUGCAUAGAGAAAGUAUAGACUGGCAUGUCAUCUGCAUUAACGCUAGUCCAUGGUAUCCUAGAGCAUUAAACCAGUACAUGAAGAGGGCCCAUCUACCAUUUUCUUUGCUCUAAUUCCUUUACUGAAGUACUGAAAUUUUGCGAAGCAACUACAGGAUUAAGAAAGAGGGCCAUGGGAUCAAUUCGAUGCAUUUUUAUCCAUGCUGCUGGGGCUGAUAAUUUCUUGAUGUUCUUUGGCUUAAUUGGAGCCAUUGGUGAUGGUAUCUUCAUGCCUGUCCUGAUUUAUACAACUAGCAAGCUCAUGAAUGCUAUUGGGGAUACAUCUGCAGGAAUUGAUUCUCAGUUCAUCCGCAGCAUCAACAAGGUCUAUCCUUAAUCUACACGCACAAAAAAAUGCACACACAUGUGGAUGUGUUUCUUAACGCAUAUGUGUUUAUAUCUAAUAUAUUUUAAGUAACUAAUUGAGUGUAUUGUAUGUUGCGGAAACAGAAUGCACUAGCUUUGUGCUACUUAGCUUGUGGCCAGUUGUUUGCUUGUUUCCUUGGUAAUCCUCACUGAGUCCAUUUUAACGUCUUAUAUAUCAACUUCUUACUGGUAAUUUUGAUCAUUUUAACUAAAUGUAAUUCAGAGGGGUACUGCUGGACGAGAACUGCGGAAAGACAAGCUUCAAGAUUAAGAGCAAGAUAUUUGAAAGCAGUACUAAGGCAAGAUGUCGGUUACUUUGAUUUGCAUGUGACAAGCAUCGCGGAAGUAAUCACUAGCGUUUCUAGUGACAGCCUCAUUAUUCAAGAUGUUAUCAGUGAAAAGGUUUCCAUAUGCUCUAUAUAAAUCUCAUUCUGAUUAUCUGGUAUCUCUUUAUUGCGCCUUUGACCACUGGCUAGCCAAAGUCCACAGCAGUUUUGAAAACUUUCCUAGUAUGAUACCUGGAGAUGGAUGAUUUCUAAUUUAGAGAAAGUAUUUAUUAUUUCACGUGUGUGCACUUAACAACAUGAUAUAAUUAAAAAAUUAAAAUUACUACAGGUCCCCUUGGUUGUGAUGAAUGUGGCUGCAUUUUUCGGUGCCUAUUUGGUGGGAUUCUUGAUGUUGUGGAGACUAGCUAUUGUUGGGUUGCCGUUGGUGGUAAUAUUGGUUGUUCCAGGAUUGAUUUGUGGGAGAAAUCUAAUGGGAAUUGCAAGAGAUAUGCGAGAUGAGUAUAACAAAGCAGGUACAAUAGUGGAAAAAGCAAUCUCAUCAAUAAGAACAGUUUAUUCAUUUGUUGGAGAGAAUAAAACCACGAUAGAGUACUCUGCUGCACUGCAAGGAACAGUAGAUUUGGGAAUUAAACAGGGAUUAGCAAAAGGUUUGGCUAUUGGAAGUAAUGGCCUUGUGUUUGCUAUCUGGGCCUUCAUGUCUUACUAUGGUAGCAGAAUGGUGAUGUACCAUGGUGCCCAUGGUGGAACUGUUUUUGCUGUUGGUGCUGCCAACGCUUUAGGUGGAUUGUAAGUAUGUUGUUCGUAUAUGACUUAUUUUCACAGUUAGAAUCAUAAUCAGUAUAUAACCCACUGAGAUUUGUUAUUAUAUGUAGGAGAACUAUUCGAUUCUCUUUGUCAAUAUUGUACUUUCUGUUUUAUUUCUUUCAUCAGAUAUUGCCUUCUUUGUAAAAAUUAGGUCACUUGGUACUGCUUUAUCGAAUGUGAAAUACUUCUCUGAAGCCAUUGCUGCUGGAGAACGAAUAAUGGAAAUGAUAAACAGAAUCCCUGUGAUUGAUUCAGAGAACAAGGAAGGUGAUAUUCUAGCAAAUGUAUUGGGGGAGGUGGAAUUCAAACACAUUGAAUUCGCAUACCCUUCAAGACCAGAAACUACAAUAUUCAAAGACUUGAACCUCAAGAUUCCUGCUGGGAAGGCAGUGGCAUUGGUCGGUGGGAGCGGCUCUGGGAAGUCAACAGUAAUAGCAUUGUUGCAGAGAUUUUAUGAUCCAGUAGGGGGAGAAAUAAUGGUGGAUGGAGUAGGCAUAGAGAAGCUGCAGUUGAAAUGGCUGAGGUCACAAAUGGGCUUGGUGAGUCAAGAGCCAGCAUUAUUUGCAACAACAAUAAAAGAGAACAUACUUUUUGGCAAAGAAUAUGGAAGUAUGGAGGAGGUUAUAGGAGCGGCCAGAGCUGCAAAUGCUCAUAACUUCAUUAGUCAGUUGCCUCAGGGUUAUGAUACCCAGGUUUGUUCUGCUUUGUCUCUUUCCUUUACGUCUAUUUUGAUUUUGUUUCUUAAAGAUUUACGUCGGUCAGUCAUUAGAGAUACAUUAUAUAGUAAAUUGUAAAGUGGUGGCCGUACUUUGUCUAAUGUUGUUGUAUUUUAAUUGCUGGAUUUCAGAAUAGCGACAUGAUGACAGUCUUUAGAAAAGGUGGAUGAUCGCCAAAAACUUAUGGCUGGACUUUACAUUUAUUUUUGAAAACAUUGGAUGUUAGCCACUUCUUUGAAAGAUGAAAGCAAUUUAGCCACUAAAUUGUACAUUUGAGAAUCCAGUCACAUAGCUAUAGCCAAUAAACUUCACCCACCAUUUUAUAUUUUGGUCAAAAUUAUAUUUUUAUAGUUUGUUUUCUUCUAUACAUUGUCAUGUCUAGUUGUGAUAUUUUAAGGGGCAGAUUCAAAUGAAAUUGUAUCCAAGGGACGUCUGCUUUUAACGAUUAAGUUGCAACCUUUAACCUGUCUAACAAGGUACCAUAGCUAGUUACUGCACUCAUACUCUUCAUGCAUCCUGGCAGGUGGGGGAAAGAGGCGUUCAAAUGUCAGGAGGACAAAAGCAGAGAAUAGCAAUAGCUCGAGCAAUUAUCAAAGUACCUCGCAUCCUCCUCCUAGACGAGGCUACCAGCGCUUUGGACUCUGAGUCUGAACGUGUUGUACAAGAAGCACUUGACCAGGCCUCUGUUGGCCGGACCACCAUCAUCAUUGCCCACCGUCUCUCAACCAUCCAACAUGCUGACCUCAUUGCCGUUAUUCAAGAUAGCAAAAUCACAGAGACUGGCUCACACCAUGAUCUCAUUGAAGAUACAGACAGCCUGUACUCAACUUUAGUCCACCUCCAACGUUCCCAAAAAAAUAACGUGAUGUUGUCUACUGGUACCAACAAUACUAAUUAUAACGGUGCUUCAAAAUCUAAGACUGACAUCAAUAGUACAAGUUCUCGAAGAUUUUCAAGGAUUAGUCGAUCAAGCCCUGCCAACCAAGGAGAUGGUGAGCAUGUCAAUAUUGAGCAUAAAAAUACUAAUCAGCAAACUUUGUUAGUACCAUCAUUUAAAAGACUUCUGGAAAUGAAUCUUCCUGAAUGGAGGCAAGCUGUAUUAGGGAGUGCUGGGGCAAUCUUAUUUGGUGCCAUUCAGCCAAUUUAUUCUUUCACUAUGGGUUCUAUGGUAUCAGUGUAUUUUCUGUCGGACCAUGCCAAAAUCAAGGAGAAAACUAGGAUUUACGCUCUCUGUUUUGUUGGUUUGGCACUGUUCUCUUUUAUCGUCAAUGUAAUUCAGCACUAUAACUUCGCGGCUAUGGGUGAGCUCCUGACAAAGAGGAUCAGAGAAAGAAUGUUGUCCAAAUUACUCACUUUUGAGAUUGGUUGGUUUGAUCAAGAUGAGAAUUCCAGUGGUGCUGUUUGUUCCAGGCUCUCCAAAGACGCUAAUGUGGUACGUAUGUUAUUAGAUUAUAUAUACAUCUCUGUAAAUUUUCCAUAUUGAUUUCAAUUUAUUAAGCAGAUGCUUGUUUAUUAGCUGAUUUUGUUGAAUGAUACUGUGAACAACAUUUAUGAUUUUUCUUCAGGUGAGAUCUUUAGUGGGUGAUCGCAUGGCCCUUGUAGUUCAGACACUAUCAGCAGUGACAAUAGCCUUCACCAUGGGCCUAAUUAUUGCUUGGAAGCUUGCUAUUGUAAUAAUCGCCAUCCAGCCCCUUAUCAUUGGUUGCUACUACUACAAAUGUAUUUUGCUUAAAAAUAUGUCUGCAAAGGCUAUCAAGUCACAAGACGAGACUAGCAAGCUGGCAGCAGAAGCUGUUUCAAAUCUCAAAACAGUCACAGCCUUUUCAUCCCAGGACCGAAUACUCAAAAUGCUCGAACAAGCCCAAGAAGGCCCACAUUGUGAAAAUGCUAGACAAUCAAGGUAUGCAGGUAUCGGUCUAGGAAUUUCCCAGAGUCUCAUGGCAUGCACUUGGGCAUUGAACUACUGGUAUGGCGGCAAACUCCUUUCUGAUGGUCUGAUCAAUUCCAAGGCUUUCUUUGAGACCUUUAUGAUCCUGGUAAGUACAGGUCGGGUAAUUGCUAAUGCCGGAACCAUGACUAGUGACAUUGCCAAAGGUUCUGAUGCUGUUGGAUCAGUUUUUGCUGUCCUGGACCGAAUCACGCUCAUUAACCCCGAAGACCCUGAUGGCCAUAAGCCUGAGAAAAUAAAGGGCCACCUUGAGCUCCAGGAUGUUCACUUCACAUAUCCCCUGCGGCCAGAUGUGCCAAUUUUUGCAGGUUUCACAAUCAAGAUUGAAGCAGGGAAAUCAACAGCAUUAGUGGGGCAAAGCGGCUCUGGCAAGUCAACCAUAAUUGGGCUGAUCCAGAGAUUCUACGACCCUCUUAAAGGUUCAGUAAAAAUAGAUGGAAAAGAUAUAAGAUCGUUUCACCUCAGAUCACUGAGGAAACACAUUGCACUUGUCAGUCAAGAACCUACAUUGUUUGCUGGAAC
rnacentral:lncRNA from 1 species